GACGAACGCUGGCGGCGUGCUUAACACAUGCAAGUCGAACGGAAAGGCCCCUUUGGGGGUCCUCGAGUGGCGAACGGGUGAGUAACACGUGAGUAACCUGCCCUUGACUUCGGGAUAACUUCAGGAAACUGGGGCUAAUACCGGAUAGGAAUCCUUGCUGCAUGGAGGGGGUUGGAAAGCUUCGGCGGUUUUGGAUGGACUCGCGGCUUAUCAGCUUGUUGGUGGGGUAGUGGCUUACCAAGGCUUUGACGGGUAGCCGGCCUGAGAGGGCGACCGGCCACAUUGGGACUGGGAUACGGCCCAGACUCCUACGGGAGGCAGCAGUGGGGAAUAUUGCACAAGGGGCGGAAGCCUGAUGCAGCAACGCCGCGUGCGGGAUGACGGCCUUCGGGUUGUAAACCGCUUUCAGCAGGGGCGAAGCUUGUGGUGACGGUACCUGCAGAAGAAGCACCGGCUAACUACGUG
rnacentral:rRNA from 1 species